rnacentral:rRNA from 1 species
AACAGGAUUAGAUACCCUGGUAGUCCACGCCGUAAACGAUGGAUACUCGCCGUGGGCAAUAGAUCGUCCGCGGCUCAGCGAAAGCGGUAAGUAUCCCACCUGGGGAGUACGCCGGCAACGGUGAAACUCAAAGGAAUUGACGGGGGCCCGCACAAGUGGUGGAGCAUGUGGUUUAAUUCGAUGAUACGCGAGGAACCUUACCUGGGCUAGAAUGUGCGUGAAGGGCUCAGAAAUGGGUCCGUCCUUCGGGACACAAAACAAGGUGCUGCAUGGCCGUCGUCAGCUCGUGCCGUGAGGUGUUGGGUUAAGUCCCGCAACGAGCGCAACCCCCACAUUUAGUUGCCAGCGCGUCAAGGCGGGGACUCUAGAUGGACUGCCUCCGCAAGGAGUGAGGAAGGCGGGGACGACGUCAGGUCAUCAUGGCCCUUACGCCCAGGGCUACACACGUGCUACAAUGGCCGGUACAGCGGGUUGCGACACAGCGAUGUGAAGCCAAUCUCUCUAAAGCCGGUCUCAGUUCGGACCGGAGUCUGCAACUCGACUCCGUGAAGCUGGAAUCACUAGUAAUCGCGUAUCAGCAAUGACGCGGUGAAUACGUUCCCGGGCCUUGUACACACCGCCCGUCAAGCCAUGGAAGUUCGGUGGACCUGAAGACGGUGCGCGUUAUAGCAGCCGUUUAGGGUAAAACGAGUAACUGGGGCUAAGUCGUAACAAGGUAACC